rnacentral:rRNA from 1 species
GAUGAACGCUGGCGGCGUGCCUAAUACAUGCAAGUCGAGCGAACGGACGAGAAGCUUGCUUCUCUGAUGUUAGCGGCGGACGGGUGAGUAACACGUGGAUAACCUACCUAUAAGACUGGGAUAACUUCGGGAAACCGGAGCUAAUACCGGAUAAUAUUUUGAACCGCAUGGUUCAAAAGUGAAAGACGGUCUUGCCGUCACUUAUAGAUGGAUCCGCGCUGCAUUAGCUAGUUGGUAAGGUAACGGCUUACCAAGGCAACGAUGCAUAGCCGACCUGAGAGGGUGAUCGGCCACACUGGAACUGAGACACGGGCCAGACUCCUACGGGAGGCAGCAGUAGGGAAUCUUCCGCAAUGGGCGAAAGCCUGACGGAGCAACGCCGCGUGAGUGAUGAAGGUCUUCGGAUCGUAAAACUCUGUUAUUAGGGAAGAACAUAUGUGUAAGUAACUGUGCACAUCUUGACGGUACCUAAUCAGAAAGCCACGGCUAACUACGUG